rnacentral:rRNA from 1 species
CUCCCUCGUUGCUGACCCCAGGUUCGAUAGUACCAAUUAGGCAUCACCUCGCCAAGAACCAGCUUCGAUGAAGCGACGGGCGGUGUGUGCAAGG